CAAACUCAUUAUACCCUUCAAAAAAUCAACUUCAUCAGAUUUGCAACUUAAAAAGCUAAGUUCUUGGACCAAUCCAGAACCUUCCUGUGCUGGUUGGCUUGGCUGGGCACCAACUGGCCUGCUGGCGCCCCAAUUAUGGCCAAUUCUUCUGGCGCAUAGGACGCCCUUGACCGAACCUCAUUUGCUCCAGCGCUUGCGGGACUCUUCUAGGGUGGCGCUGUCCAAGGAAUGCCCCAACCGAAUCUCGUUUCUUGCCAGUGCUGGAACCGUUGCGGCAGCGCUGAAACCCAGCUGCGUUGCUAGUGCUUGGCCCGCUGCGGCAGCAAUUUGCCCCAAGUGUGCCAGCGCCGUACUAACUCCCCCGGGCCCGUAGCUCUUGCUGGUUGGCCUACUGCAUGUCCAGCAGAAUUGGCCCAUUGGCUUGCCGAUUGGCCAGCUGGCUUUUCUAAGUGGCCUACGGACCUCGGAUCUAUUUUGCGAUGAAAAUUUGGGAAAUUUGGGACGGUCGCAUUUAGUGCGCGACGCUUGGGCUUGCUAUCUCCUUAGCAGUUGGGGUUGGGGAAAGAUCGACAGGCGUACAAGGGAAUGGAAGUAAAAGUAAGUGUCAUGCAAAACACAGUACUAAAAGACUGUCCUUUGUGCUUAGAAUCAUCUUUUCCUUCCACUUUGACCCCUCCAUUUUUGGUGGUGUCUCAGACAAAUGCUGGCCACCAUCACAUGGUUUUCCUCAAGUCAAUAUCCCAUUUUAUUUCCCUUAUCAUUUCCCACAUGUGAUUUAUGUUUAUUUUGUUCUUGCUCUUCUUCCUUCGUCUCUUGUGGUUCUUCUUCCUUCACUGGCUCUGCUACUGGAAUGUCAGCGGGACGGGCUAAAGGUGGGUCGACCCGGCCAUCCAGGCAAGAAGAGCAUUUUCUCUCUACCCAACCCUCAAAAUCAUAUUGCCCAUGCCCCAUGAUCCGACGACCCGAACAGAUGCGACCGAUCAUGCCGGCUAUGACUCCAAGGAUGGUGAUCACUGCUAGAACAGCUAUUACAGGUCCAACCGACCCGUGACCUGUGUGGGCUGUGUAAGCUUGCUGGGUCACUUCCAUGGGUGGUGGUUGUUGCUGCUGGUCUAGUGGUGUAGACAUUGGAAAAUGGUAUAUGACAAACGAAACAAUUGAUGAUUUUGGAGGGCUUUGGAAUGAACAAAGAUUGGUGGAAAUGGAAAGCAGAAGUGGGUUUCUUGAAUAGAUGUGGUGUCAAUGAAGUUUGGAUCCUGAAAUGCAAGAAUUUUCAGGAUUUUGAGGGUUUAGGGGAGAGAAAAAUGAAGAGUAAUCAAGUUAAAAAAGAAGAAAAAGUACUUGGUGUUGAUAAGCUUUUAAGGGCUUUGUUUUUAUUUUAUUGAUAUUUCUUUUCCUCUCAACACUUUGGAAGGUAAGGAGCAGAGGCAGAGGAUGUAAUUGAUCAUUUCUAAGUGGUGAAAAGGUGGGAAGAAAGCAAAGUUUGGGAAAGUUUAGAGAGGAAAGAGGAAUGUUUUGAGUGGGCAACAAAACCCAAGAAAAACCCUUUUCAGAUUGAGGAGGAGCUUUCUCUAUACAUUUUCUAGGACUGCAAGCAUUUAUGAAAAUUUAAUUUGACAAGGUUUUGAUAUAUAAAAAGCCAAAAGGGAAUUG
rnacentral:misc_RNA from 1 species